UGCAAGAUUGAACAGAUUGUUUAGCAUAAAUAGUUAGCCUGUAUUCUAAGAGACCAUUCACUCUACCUUGAAUGGGAUUAGUAGAUCUGAGUCAUGCAGAUUCCAAUGCUGAGACCAUGUUUUAUUUAUCCUUUGGUCAUUACAAGGAAGGGUCUAGUGCCGGAGUCCUGGCAGGAUCUCUAAGAGGAGCUUUGUGCCAGUACAACUAAAAUAUGGCAAUUGGGCAAAAUUAUCAUUGUCUCAAACAGCUUUUUUUUAGUUUUAAACAUUUUCCCCCUAAAACUUUCUCUUGGGACUGACUCAACUUUCUCCAGAGAAAUAACUUUGGACUGAUAUCCAGAAUGAUAUUAGCAAUCAUAGGCUCUAGAAGUUGAGUUUUCAACCUUAAAUAUAGGCUCACUAAAGAUAAAGUAUAUGUACUGGUCUAGGCUUAUAUCUGAUAGCUGCAGGGAAUAAAACUAGGGUUUGUGCAGCAAAAAAAGUUGAUGAAAAUUGACGAGAGUUUAAACCUGGGAGGAGAAUCAGGAAGCUGGUUACAGUUCCUGCACUAACCGUAACCCCAUCCUUCCAUUUCUGUAUCAGAGUUAGUAAUAGAUGAAUUAGACAGAUUAAAAUAAGUAUUUUUAAAAAAUCAACCCUUUACUCAUUCCUAGAACCAAAUCAAAAAUUCUUUUAAGGAAAUAGAUCCAUCUCUCUAAUUGGUAAGGUUUGUACCUGUUGAUGCAAUGGCUUUUGUCUUCUCCAGUAGUGGCAUCCUAUAAUACAGGCCAUGCGUGCAGAACCCCAAAUCUCAAGGGUUCCCACGCAUUCUGUACUUGCUAGGCUAAGUUCCAGGGAAUCCACUGGGCAGACUACACUUAAAACCCACAGCACCAGUACCGGGUUGGUGGGGGAGAGAAUAUGCCUCUCUCUGCUAAAAUACUCUUUCAGGAAUGGGGGCUUAGUCCCUUGAAAACCAUUGCUACCAAGACAGUCUCCAUCACCUCCAAGUUACCAGCUUGAAUUUACCUCAGCUCCACAGUCAAGUUUUUACUUAUUUAAAACCAUUUGGCUCCCUUGUUCUUAAUCUCAGCAGAGACCAAAAGAAUGGGCCUAGAGGCCUCAUUAUGUAGAAGCAUCACUUCCCUUACUGCCCCCAAGCAGGGCAAUGGCAUGUUGGCAGAGCAAUGAUGUGAGGCAGUCUCGCUGUUGCUCUCUAUUCUACCUGUUUUAAGAAUACAGAAAUCUUCAAUUUCCAAAGCUGUGAAUCCAAUACCUUUUGAAAGCACAAAGUUAAACAACUACUUCUAUGAGGACAGGUGCUAUGUAAAAUAACUUCAGGAAAGCCAUCUUGUUAUUAGUAGAUAUAAUAAAAUCAUAUAUUGCAAAGAUAUGAAAUCUCGCACGCUUUAAAUAAUCACUUAGUAUCUUAAUUAACAGUUCAAUUCUGAUAGGAAUUUUAUUUAGGUAUAAUUGUAGACAGUUAGCUGGAGUGUGACCGUCUGUAGAACCACCUUAAAGGUUUUCUUGGUUAAUAUUUUUUUGUUUUACUACUGAAAACAAUCUCUUUAUUUUGCUGUAGAUGACACAUGAUUCUUUCCUUAAAGAUCUAAAAUAGUGGCAGCAGCUUACCAGCAAGAGAGACAGGAUAAGUCUUCAGCAAUCCAUCAACAGUUUCUUGGCAAAACUUUAAAAAAAAAGUCUUGGUAUAAUUUCAUUGAAUUCUAUUUUUAUGCCUAGAAUGUCUUAGUGAUAGAAACUAGAUAAUAGUAUCAAUAGAAAUAAGACAUCCUCUGUUAUAGUAGUUUGUAGCUGCAAAAGAUAGGAUUUAUAAAAUGAAGUAUGCAAAUACAACACAGUGAGUAGAUACUAUUAUAAAGAGAAGCGUAUGUAAAAAUAAACAUGAGUCAAUCAUGCAGUGCACUGGCUUACUUGCAGUGUGUUUGGUGUAUGUAGCCCUCUUAGUUCACCAGAAUUUAUUCUAUGUGGUAGGAUAACAUUGUUUGUGGCUUGUGUGCAUUGUUACUGAAUUUGACAUUCUGUGUGAAAGAGGAGCCCCACACUGCAGCAAAACAUUGGUUCUGUAGUUAUACUUCAAACUAGCUGGUCCUCUGUGGCCAGUAGUCCCAUGGUGGCAUUCUCUAUAACUCUUUUGGGUACCAUAUCAUAAUGGGAAUUCAUUACUAAGGUAACUUUGAGAUCAAUCCCAGACAAUUAGGUCCAUUGUAAAGACUGAAAGGGCUCAGUUUGGAAAAAUUUCUUUAGUCAAGUACAAACAAAAGUCCACAUCCCAGGGAGUGUGGGUCAAAGGAUAUUUUCUCAGGAGUGCAAUUCCUAUUCGGUGAAAGCUCUCUUUAAUAAGUGCAAACGACUUAGGAAGAGCAGACUGCAUAUUGUAAAAACUUGGUACAACAAACAGACAAUGUCAUAUUAUAUUGCCAACAGGGAGAACCUCAGGAGUGGGCUCCAGACCUUAGACAUCACUCCAGUGGAAACACAACUCUGCUGGACGAACUUGCUUAGUAUAGAAUGUGUGGUUUGUGUGGAAAGGACUAAUGAGCAAUUCGUUCUGCAUGAAAUCCUCCAAUCUAUAGAGCUAAUGUUUUUUAAGAAAAACAACCUAACCCCAGACAUCAUCAUUAGACUCGUUCCCUCUUGUGUACCGGGUAGUCAGGCCUAACCCUAAAUCUAGUCAUCUAGGAAGCAAGAUUGUUCGCUCUGCCAUGGUUACCUUAACAGCAGCAGCAACCAGCACCCAUUGCUCAACCUGGGCCACUUUAUAUCAACAUUUAGUGUCUGGGCUGCAGAUUUAUCUUCUACCUGCCUUCCCCGCUGACUUUAAGAUCCAUCAAUGGAUUUAUAGGGGCAUCAGCACCCUAGAAGCACAUUAAUUGGGUGUAGGAAUUCUAGCUCCAGCAGAGCCAACCAGACGGUCAUUUGGAAUCACCACCUGACUUACCCUGCUCAGCACGUCCAGCCUCCAAUUUCAUGUGCCUGAUCUCUGAAACCUGGCUCCAUUGACACGGCUCUUGGUUCAUCGCUGGUCCUGGUUCACUUUGCUCAUGGCUUAAACAAUUUCCCCUCCUAUCUGUAGCUCUACACUAGACUUCUCCUGGUCCUUAACAUCUGUCUGAAAGUGAAUGGGAUGAGAAUGCGUCAGACUACCAGCUGGUGUCCUUGUGCUUCUGAAUUCUUGGAUCCGGUAAACUCUCGUGCUUCUCCAGCAUACGUGACCCUUCAGUUGCUCCCAUUUUGACUCCAGAGUAAGAAACUUCUCUCUUGGAUGGCAGGUCUUCAUGUCCUAUUGGCUUCUGGUUCUGGCUCUCAUUAGGUCCUCAACUAUCUCUUCAUUUCAUCUAUCUGUAUGCAUCUUCAGCUGUAACACUAUCUACCUUUCCUCCACAGCUGUCGCCCCAUCUGCCUUACUUAGGGUAACAGCAGUGCUGUUUGGCACUUAAUUUUAGGGUUUAGCACAGCUUGUUUGACAAGCCACAUCUUAUCCUUAUUUGGCUGUUUAUCUGCAGGUUUUUUUCAUCAGGCAACACUGAUGCUGGCCCUUUUGAGGUCACCAGUAAAUAAACAAUUUCAUGCCUUUUGAGGUGUCUUAAGCCAUCAUUCUUUUCUAAAUAGAAUUCCACACCACAGUGGCACAAUCUGCACCAGUUCUGCAUGCGGUCAAACUCUCUCCAGCAGCAAUGUGUUUGUACAGUACCUAGCACAGUUCUGGGGCUACUGGAAUACAAAUACACAAACAGUACAUUAAAAGAACAUCCAUAAGGUUUCAAAGUGUAGAACUCAAAAGAUAGGAAGUGACAGAAUUAAGGUUACCUGGGCAACUUUAAUUGUUGUUGUGCAUUAUGAUAGUCUUUAAUUACAUGAUCACAUAGUGUUUUACCCCAGUACCCCCUUGCCUCAUUCAGUGCAUAGGAUGGAAGGUGCUCACUUUGGCCAUAUCUGCACAAACACUUACCAUGCUGCAUGCUGUCCAUGUAGACCCUGCUGCUGUGCACUAAAAGUUCUUAAGUGUGCAUUGACAAUAGAGAAUUUUUAACUGCACAUUGUCCAAACAGUGAUCUGAAGACAGAAUUUAUUAAUUCCUCAUUGUCUUGUCUGUGGCGCACGUCACUAUAGAAUCGGAGUGUUUCACAAACAUUCAUUUAUUUUCACACACCCAAAUGAGUGAGUAUUCUCCCCAUUUUACAGAUGGAGAACUGAAACAGAGAUUAAAGUCAAAUGUUCGCUAAUUUUGGGUGCCCAGUUUGACACUUUAAGAUCUGACUUUUCAGAGUAGUGAGCAUUACGUAGCCUGGUAUGUGCUCAAAGCACAGCUCCCAUUGACUUCUGUUGCAGUGGUGAGAGUUCUGCACCUCUGCAAAUCAGACAAGUCCAACAAAGCUAGUAAUAUAUAGCCACUGUUUCAAACUCUGACUCCACCUAUCGUAAGAAAAUAACACCCUCAGACUUUCUCUUCACUUGUUGUUAAAGAACUUAGCUGCUGGUGAGGUGCUAUGAUAAUACAAUUAAUGAUAAUAUGGAUGAUUGUUGUUAGCAUCAUUGCAGAAAGCAUGACUGAGACAUUGUCUUAGCCAUGCUAGCUACUAGACUGCCUCUUUAGAGGAGCUGAGGGGCUGGGGAAGCCACUGCCGACAUGUCUGCAACAUUGUCUUUCUAGCCUGGAGGGGAAUGUUAAGCACGGAAGAAAAUGUAGCUCAUCUAGACAAUUCCCCACAGUUAAAUUGGCAGCUGCAUCCCAAUGGUGUGCAAGUUGUUACACACUUGCCCUGGGAACUAGCAGCAAACUGAAGGAUAAAUAUAUACAUGAAGGGGGAAAAUACAAAUGCUGCUUCUACUCUGUUAAAUUGUUCCACAUCUGAUUAAAGGAUCAAAAGCUACAUAGUCUGACAAACUCCACACUUAACUGUUGUUUAACUUGCAAACGAAGACCCAAGAUUUAUAUGUUUGUGUCAUGAGUCGUAAAUCUGGCUGCUCUCCUGGUCUUCUACUCUAGACAAAUGGCUUAUAGAGGAAAUUGUAGUGGUUUGAAUAAGUCUAGGUUUCAGAAGUCAGUCGUCUUAGGUCAGACAGGCAAGAAACAUCAAUAAUAAAUUUGUUUGAAGAAUCUGGCUCUAGAUCUUUUACUUAAUUCACAUUUUCCCCUUUGAAAGUAAAGAAUGUGUAUAUAUAUUAGACACUAAAUUCAGACACCUGCACUUGUGCGAUUAAAUGGGGUAUCAGCUUGCUGUUGCCUUGCAGUGAGGAAACAAAUCAGUUUCAUGUUAAUCUAAAUCUAAUUUUUUUUUCACUCCCCACAAUAAAACCCAAUGAGACGCAUCGUCCCAGUUUUAAGGGGGAAAUGGCUGUAAACACCAGGAUCCUUUAAUCUGUAGAACUACCAUAUGUAUGGAGGCUAGAACUCACUACUUGGUUUGUAUUUUGGAUAUGACUAGUCAAAUCUUCCCUAUAGUGGAAACUUCACAAGUCCUGCCCCUCCUUUUCCAGCCAAAACUGGUAGCUGACACAUUUUAGGCCUCUAAGCAUGGUUCAUGUACAUCAAUACUUAGCCUGCUGUCUACAGUAAGGCCCUGAUCCUGCAAUUAGCAUCAUGUGAGUGCACGCUGCAUUAAGGUUAUUGCAGGCUUUGGUCCUAAGACAGCCUGAAUGCAACAAGGGCAUAUUGCCCCCAGCUAUUGGCCUUAAGAAAGAACUAUGCCAAACACUAGGCCCAACAAUUUGUGAAGCAAGUUUUUGAUCCAGCCAUUGAAAACAGGAUUUGGACAAUAGACCUCAAAUACAGGUUAAAAUUGAGUGUGCUUUAUGUGAUUGUCUUAAGGAGGCAAAAUAAAUACUCAUUGCAUUAUUUGUUGCAGUACCAUUGCUUGUGCCAGAUGCUUCUUGUCUAGUCCAAGGAAAUAAAAUAUAUAGCCUGGCUACUGAUUAGCAAACUAUCUUCAGUUUUUCAAGAGUCUUAUAAUAUAAACCGCUCAGGGUGGGACUGUAGUCUUUGUUCAAUGCCAACUCACCAAGCCUUUAAUAUUUUGAGAAAGUGACUUUUGUUUAUGGUAGAAAGUCAUGAAAUGGCACUGGUGAAACCAGGCAAAAAGUUAGAGCCUGUUGCUUUAACUUCAGACAAAAUAGUCUCCUAUUUUACAGCCUCCUGCAUCUGUUUGUGCCAGUUCCCGUAAAUAGUGAGUACAGUCACUUUUUCAACUUGCCAAGGAGAGAGUCAGUUUUUGGAGCAGUGUGUCAACAUACAUAGUUAAAAACUAACCCACAGCAAAUUUUACCUCUGAUCAUUGGCCCUCCACUGAGAAAGACCAGUACGGGCCACAGACUGCAUGGACUGUUGAGAGACUAAGCAACCCCUCUGGCCCCUAGAGCUGGUCGUUGGAACGUUGGUGGUGAGUGAAUGUGGGGAAGUUGCCUGUCCUGCUGAUCACUGGCACUUGCUUAGAAUUUGGGCCAAAAGCAGUCUUGGGACACCUCCCGAGAGCAUGCUAACAAUCGGUGUAGUGGGGUGAUGCCAAGCCCUGCCAUAUACGACAAUCUGCUGCAUUCUAAUGACAAACUUCCUUGCUCUUCAGUAGUAUCUUUAUGAGGCAGUGAUACAUCCUCCUGGAAUGGAUGCCCCUUAGAGACAUAAACAGUAACUCACUGCACCCUUAAAUAUGGAGUAACGUAUUACUCCACGGGACUUACCGACACACUAUUCUGUUGCAACACUUUAUACCUUCUCCUUUUCUUUUGUUUUCCUCUUUCCUUUUUCCCAUCCUGUACACUCUCUCCAUCUGUUAUAUGCUACAUACUGUUAGUGUUUCUCUUCUCAGGCUUCUGCUUCAUGCAUUCAUUCUGUUUUUCCCCAUGUUUUUAUUGAUAUUCUCAUUCCUGCUUUCUUCCUCUUUCUAAUCAGUGUCUCAUCCUCAUCAGUCGUCUCUAUUCCCUAGUGUCCAUCCAUCACCCUCCCUCUGCCCCAAAAAAUCCAUAUCCCUUACGUUCGCCUGUAGGAUAUUGAAGCAUCAUUCUUUUCUACCACCAGCCUAGCUGCUUUUCUGGCCCAGUCACUAUCUGCUCAACACACAGUGUGCCAACCUUGCUCCUUCACAUGCAGAGGAAGGGAGCUGGGGUAUGCUGCAUUCAGCACAUGGGGUAGCCACAACUAGGGAAGAACACCACUUUGUUUUAUAUUUUUAUGCAACUCCAUUGACUUCUUUUCUGGCUUAACCACUGCAUAGAAUCAGGCAAGUCUGGCAUCGUCCAUGGCCACUAACUUUCUCUUUAAGAAUAUGGGUUUCCUAUUCAGGUAGAUCUGACACAACUAGAAGAAAGAAUUUUUACAGCCUCUGUGGAAUCUAUAUUCGUUUUUGCAUUGCAGUCAUUCUUACCACUUGUUAGAACUGUUCAGCAUUUAUCAGCCACUAGUUAUACAUCUUCGACUUUCUUCUCUGACAGGCUGCAUUACUCUGACACAGUCCUCUUGAAUACAACAGGGAUCAGUGCAGCAAUUUAGCUUAAUUGCUUAUGGAGGUGACUGCAGGAUUGUAAUGUCAGAAUACUGCUAAAUCCUAGGGGAUUUCUUGCAUUUUGCUGCCACAAUAAGGUCAUAGUUGUCAUAGUGGCUUAGUACAACCACAAAAUGUCCUUACACUUAUUUAUGUAGCUUGAAAAAUGUAAUGCAACAAUAAAAUAUUGCAUUUAUUUAUCUGAGGCUUGACUCUUCUUACACCACCUUUACCCCCUGCUGUAUGCUUUAAAUAGAUACGUUGAUAUUUUAGAUUUGUAAUGGGGUUAGGGAAGCUGAGUCAUGUGCUGUAGGGUUGGUCACAUUUUGGAGGCCUUAAAUACCAUCCUACUCUGGGCCUGUUCAUCAGCUGCCCUCGCUAACCUGGAGUUACUACAGUCAGUUACGUAAAUCCAUAUUUACGAGGCAUUUCUGUUCCACUCUGGAGCUACUGUUGUAUUGUUAAUAGAUAUGUGUGGCAAAUGGCCUGAAAACAAGGUACUGCGCAUGUGCAAGCAGUCCGCCGCAGAGUUUAUUUUAUAAAUAUCAAAAACGUAGCCAGUCUAUGCUAUGGAGCAUUUGCAAAGUAGUAUUAACAGAACCCAGAGCCGCUGGUGAAUUACGGAAAACAAGCAUUUGACACACAAAUAAGCUUGCAUUCUUUUGCAGUGUGAAGUUAAAAAAUGUUCCUUGCUUGAAACUUCAGGGGAUCCACUUUUUGUCCAUGCCAGUAACUGGGAGUUUCACAUUAAUGAAAAGAAUAUAUUUUUCUGCAGGCAAAAAGUUAGCCUGGAGCAAGUUUUUAUGCCCAGGUUUAUGAAUUCCCAGGAGUAGGUUUUUCCAAUAGGAACACUCUUAACUGUAGCAGCGUGAAAAGCUUUUUCCUUUCCUUAAUGUUUUUUCCCCCUUUUUCAAACCUAUAACCUUUGCAACUGUUCCUCUCUAAUUUUCUGCAAGAGACCACAGACAACAGCAUUUUAUAGAAACUAAGUCACUGCAGCAGCAUGGUUCAGUCAGAGAAGCAGCAGCAGUAUGGGCGACUUGAAGGGUCCUCCAAUCCACUGUUUUACCUGUAUUUAUGAGCU